UACGGGGGGGAGCAAGCGUUGUUCGGAUUUACUGGGCGUAAAGGGCGCGUAGGCGGUCGUGACAAGUCACUUGUGAAAUCUCCGGGCUUAACUCGGAACGGUCAAGUGAUACUGUCGGACUAGAGUACAGAAGGGGCAACUGGAAUUCUCGGUGUAGCGGUGAAAUGCGUAGAUAUCAGGAGGAACACCGAUGGCGAAGGCAGGUCUCGUGGGCUGACACUGACGCUCAGGCACGAAGGUAUGGGGACUCAAACAGGAUUAGAGUACCCCAG
rnacentral:rRNA from 1 species